AACGAACGCUGGCGGCAGGCUUAACACAUGCAAGUCGAACGCAUCCUUCGGGGUGAGUGGCAGACGGGUGAGUAACGCGUGGGAACGUGCCCUUCAGUUCGGGAUAACCCAGGGAAACUUGGGCUAAUACCGGAUACGUGCGAGAGCAGAAAGAUUUAUCGCUGAAGGAUCGGCCCGCGUCUGAUUAGCUAGUUGGUGGGGUAAUGGCCCACCAAGGCGACGACCAGUAGCUGGUCUGAGAGGAUGAUCAGCCACAUUGGGACUGACACGGCCCAAACUCCUACGGGAGGCGGCAGUGGGGAAUAUUGGACAAUGUGCGCAAGCCUGAUCCAGCCAUGCCGCGUGAGUGAUGAAGGCCUUAGGGUUGUAAAGCUCUUUCGUCCGGGACGAUAAUGACGGUACCGGAAGAAGAAGCCCCGGCUAACUUCGUGCCAGCCGCCGCCGUAA
rnacentral:rRNA from 1 species